CCCUUAGGAAGAGGAUAACAGCUGGAAACGGUUGCUAAUACUCUAUACGCCGAGAGGUAAAAGGAUUUAUCCACCUUAGGAAGAGCUCGCGUCUGAUUAGCUUGUUGGUAAGGUAAUGGCUUACCAAGGCGACGAUCAGUAGCUGGUUUGAGAGGACGACCAGCCACACUGGGACUGAGACACGGCCCAGACUCCUACGGGAGGCAGCAGUGGGGAAUUUUCCGCAAUGGGCGAAAGCCUGACGGAGCAAUACCGCGUGAGGGAUGAAAGCCUGUGGGUUGUAAACCUCUCUUCUCAAGGAAGAAGUUCUGACGGUACUUGAGGAAUAAGCAUCGGCUAACUCUGUGCCAGCAGCCGCGGUAAUACAGAGGAUGCAAGCGUUAUCCGGAAUCACUGGGCAUAAAGCGUCUGUAGGUUGCUUGCCAAGUCUGCUGUUAAAGAUCAGGGCUUAACCCUGGGAAAGCAGUGGAAACUAGUAGGCUUGAGUGUGGUAGAGGUAGAGGGAAUUCCUGGUGUAGCGGUGAAAUGCGUAGAUAUUAGGAAGAACACCAAUGGCGAAAGCACUCUACUGGGCCACAACUGACACUGAGAGACGACAGCUAGGGGAGCAAAUGGGAUUAGAUACC
rnacentral:rRNA from 1 species